CACUGGGCCAUCCCCUGUGUUUGUGGCUGGGAGUGCAGAAGGCAAUGGAGUAGACACAAGCCCUUGACCUCUGGGUGCUCCAGGCUAGCUGCAGAGACGGACAAGGAAGCAGGAGACCAACCUGCCGUGUGAUCUGUGCUCAGUGGGGGCAUGCUGAAGAGGACGGGCAGCUUCUAGAGGAGAAGAUGGCAGCUCUGACCUGGAGGACGAGCAGCAGCCAGGAAAAGGGGGCAGGUUCUACUACCCGGUUGGUUGUCAACAACCUGCUCAUCAGUCUUCAAGAUUCGGUGCUGUGCAGCCUCACCAUCUUGUGUGUGCUUCCAGGUUUCACAGAAUGGUUUUCUUCGGUGCUUAGAGAAAAUUCAAAGACUGGAAAGAUCCUGGAGGCACAAGGAGAAGGCAGAGAUGCAGAAAGAAGAAAGCUGAAAGGCUGAGUCUGAAAGCAUGAAGAAGAGGUGAGACAUGGGAGUUUUCAUUGCUCCAGAGUUGGGGUUGGGAAGGUAGGGUCAAAUGAUGGAAAUAGCAACAGGAAACUGGGAGACGGUGGGAUAAAGAAGGUUCAGGAGGACCCUGCUUGGAGAGUCUAAGACUCGAGGUUGAGGAGGAAGAACUCAUCACGCAAGCUGUGAGAACCACUGAGGAUUUCAGACCAGAAGAGUGAUCCGAUUACUGUUUCACUUUAGAUCAGAAAGAUAGUCAUGCUGGGAACAAUCAGUCAAUUUGAAGAUGGGAGGUGAGGUUAGGAGUUACGGAAGUAAUAUGAGAGUGGCUCUCACAACCAUCAAACUGCUAAUUUAGAUGUAUUCUCCCUUCACAGUACAGCACUCAGAUCAAGCAUACUUCCAUCCAUAUAAACUACUGAAAAAGUGCUCUGCUGAAGUUACCAUCACCAUUUGCAAUCUGCCCGUUACUUCCUAUCUGUGUUAUUGUAGCUCAUUUAUAACUGGGUAGGUGUCACCUGGGGAACUGACUUCAUGAUCCAGGCCCACAAGGAGUCCUGACCCUUCCUUUCACGUGUGGAAAAUGCUGAUCUUGAGCUGCGGUUUCCAGAAUGUGUUACAGGCCCCCGAGGAGCACAAAAGACAAUUUACUAAAAUGAAGGGCAAACUUUGUUCAGUGACAGUAUCUUAGCCCAUGACGUGUAUCUGAGGUGUGAUUAUUGCUAAUUAAAAUAAAGAGUAAAAUAACAGAACAGCUAUUUGCAUUGUUUCUCUUUCAUUCUGAUAAAAUGCUUAUUUUUGUGUAUGCUUUAAAAGAUCUACUACUAUAGUGGUCUAUAUUGAUGCUGGUGUACUACACAUGCACACAUCGCAGAGGUUUGCUAACAAAUUUUUAUGGAUAAGGAUGGAUCUUCAGGAAAGUUUGGCAACUACGAUGGGGGUACCUCAAAUAAUUCAGUUUAAUAAUGAAACAACAAACCUCAAUAUUCCCUUAAUGGAUUUCUCUGAAAUAUUGUAAUUCAAAUCUUUGUCUUUCCGCAUGGUCGUCUGUAGCCCGAAGCGCGUUCUGCAGUGAAGUCACGGUGCAUCCGCAUGGAAGUUCCUCUGGCUUGGCCUGCGGAGAACAGUGUCCCCUCCCCGGGUGCUGGGGCCAUCACUGCUGCUCCCUGUCUUGGCAAGGCAGAGCCCCUCUUGGGGUCUCAGUUUAUUCCUUAAAGUUAGCUGCUUUUCCUCAUAUUUCUUUUCAUUCACUUAGAUUUUAUUAUAAAUCUAUGAAUAUUUAGAAACUCUUUAAUUUUUUUGGACCCUCAGUUAACUUCAACAGGAAAAUGCUGGAGGUUUUAAAAUUCAUCUGGGACCUGCCUGCACUCCCCCUUUGGCUCUGUUCGCCGUGAAAGCAUUUGAGGGUUUAUCUUUCUAUCAGGAAGCUUUAGAAGCACAACCCCUACCUAAUCA
ensembl:lincRNA